rnacentral:tRNA from 1 species
GGAGAGGUGCUAGAGUGGUUGAAUAGGCUGGUCUCGAAAACCAGUAUGGUGAAAGUCAUCGUGGGUUCGAAUCCCAUCUCCUCCGCCA